GACGAACGCUGGCGGCGUGCUUAACACAUGCAAGUCGAACGGAAAGGCCCUGCUCUUGUGGGGUGCUCGAGUGGCGAACGGGUGAGUAACACGUGAGUAACCUGCCCUUGACUUUGGGAUAACUUCAGGAAACUGGGGCUAAUACCGGAUAGGAGCUCCUGCUGCAUGGUGGGGGUUGGAAAGUUUCGGCGGUUGGGGAUUGACUCGCGGCUUAUCAGCUUGUUGGUGGGGUAGUGGCUUACCAAGGCUUUGACGGGUAGCCGGCCUGAGAGGGUGACCGGCCACAUUGGGACUGGAAUACGGCCCAGGCUCCUACGGGAGGCAGCAGUGGGGAAUAUUGCACAAUGGGCGGAAGCCUAAUGCAGCAACGCCGCGUGCGGGAUGACGGCCUUCGGGUUGUAAACCGCUUUCGCCUGUGACAAAGCGUGAGUGACGGUAAUGGGUAAAGAAGCACCGGCUAACUACGUG
rnacentral:rRNA from 1 species